GUGCUCACUUCAGCAGCACAUAUACUAAAACUGGAACGAUACAGAGAAGAUUAGCAUUACCCCUGUGCAAGGAUGACACGCAGAUUUGUGAAGCGUUCUAUAUUUUU
rnacentral:snRNA from 1 species